rnacentral:snoRNA from 1 species
AUGUAAGAUAAAUGCUUAAUACUUACCUGAAUGUAUUUCUGCAGAAAUUUAGAAAAAGCUGGCAGUAGUAAAGCUGUGUUACCUUAAGGAGAAUAUUAAGAUCAUUAAGGUCCCUGAAAGUGGCUACAAAU